rnacentral:pre_miRNA from 1 species
CAACUACUCCCUCUGUCCCAAAUUUCUUGUCUUAGAUUUGUCUAGAUACGGAUGUAUCUAAUACUAAAAUGUGACUUGAUACAUCCGUAUCUAGACAAAUGUAAGAUAAGAAUUUUGGGACGGAGGGAGUACUUU